AACGAACGCUGGCGGCAUGCCUAACACAUGCAAGUCGAACGAGACCUUCGGGUCUAGUGGCGCACGCGUGCGUAACGCGUGGGAACCUGCCCUUAGGUUCGGAAUACCUCCCCGAAAGGGGUGCUAAUACCGGAUAAUGUCUUCGGACCAAAGAUUUGUUGCCUUGGGAUGGGCCCGCGUUGGAUUAGCUAGUUGGUAGGGUAAAAGCCUACCAAGGCGACGAUCCGUAGCCGGUCUGAGAGGGUGAUCGGCGACAAGGGGACUGAGACACGGCCCUUGCUCAUACGGGAGGCAGGAGUGGGGAAUAUCGGACAAUGGGGGCACCCCUGAUCCAGCAAUUCUGUGUGCACGAAGAAGGUUUUCGGAUUGUAAAGUGCUUUCAGCAGGGAAGAAGAAAGUGACGGUACCUGCAGAAGAAGCGACGGCUAAAUACGUG
rnacentral:rRNA from 1 species